rnacentral:rRNA from 1 species
UGGGGGAUAUUGCACAAUGGGCGCAAGCCUGAUGCAGCGACGCCGCGUGGGGGAUGAAGGCCUUCGGGUUGUAAACUUCUUUUGCUCUGAACAAGGCGCACUUUGGGGUGUGUUGAGUGUAGGGGUUGAUUAGCGCCGGCUAACUACGUGCCAGCAGCCGCGGUAAUACGUAGGGCGCGAGCGUUGUCCGGAAUUUUUGGGCGUAAAGGGCUUGUAGUUUGCUGGAAGCGCCUUUCGUGAAAGCUCAUGGCUUAACUGUGGGUUUGCGGCGAGUACGAGUGCGUUUGAGUGUCGGAGGGGAGGCUGGAAUUCCUGGUGUAGCGGUGAAAUGCGCAGAUAUCAGUAGGAGUACCGGUGGCGAAGGCGAGUCUCGGGGCUUUUACUGACACUGAGGAGCGAAAGCAUGAGGAGCGAACAGG